AAAUGGGAUGACACAGAAGGAUAAGCUAACCGCACUGUUGGUUAUGUGCGGGCAAGUAUUGAGGCAGUUCUGAUAGGCAAAUCCGUCAGAAUAAUGCUGGGGUACGAUGCGGAGCGAAAUUUAGUAGCGAAGUAGCUGAUUUCACACUGUCGAGAAAAGUCUCUAUCGAGUUAAAGGUGCCUGUACCGCAAACCGACACAGGUGGGUGAGGAGAGUAUCCUAAGGCCAGCCAGAGAACUGUUGUUAAGGAACUCGGCAAAAUGACCCCGUAACUUAGGGAGAAGGGGUGCCUUCGAAAGAAGGCCGCAGAGAAUAGGCCCAAGCGACUGUUUACCAAAAACAUAGGUUUCUGCUAAGUCGCAAGACGAUGUAUAGGAGCUGACGCCUGCCCGGUGCUGGAAGGUUAAGGGGAUCUGUUAGGGUAACCGAAGCAGUGAACUUAAGCCCCAGUAAACGGCGGCCGUAACAAUAACGGUCCUAAGGUAGCGAAAUUCCUUGUCGGGUAAGUUCCGACCCGCACGAAAGGCGUAACGAUUUGGGCACUGUCUCAACAACAGACUGGGUGAAAUUGUAAUACCGGUGAAGAUGCCGGUUACCUGCGACAGGACGGAAAGACCCCAUGGAGCUUUACUGUAGCUUGACAUUGAGUCUCGGUGCUACAUGUACAGGAUAGGUGGGAGGCUAUGAAGCAUGGACGUCAGUCUGUGUGGAGCCAUCCUUGGGAUACCACCCUUGUAGUACUGGGAUUCUAACCAGCUGCCUUGAAUCAGGUAGUGGGACACUGUCAGGUGGACAGUUUGACUGGGGCGGUCGCCUCCUAAAGAGUAACGGAGGCGCUCAAAGGUUCUCUCAGUACGGUCGGAAAUCGUACGUAGAGUGUAAAGGCAGAAGAGAGCUUGAUUGCAAGACAUACAGGUCGAGCAAGGACGAAAGUCGGACUUAGUGAUCCGGUGGUACCGCAUGGAAGGGCCAUCGCUCAACGGAUAAAAGCUACCCUGGGGAUAACAGGCUGAUCUCCCCCAAGAGUCCACAUCGACGGGGAGGUUUGGCACCUCGAUGUCGGCUCAUCACAUCCUGGGGCUGUAGUAGGUCCCAAGGGUUGGGCUGUUCGCCCAUUAAAGUGGUACGCGAGCUGGGUUCAGAACGUCGUGAGACAGUUCGGUCCCUAUCCGUCGCAGGCGUAGGAAAUUUGAGGAGACCUGUCCUUAGUACGAGAGGACCGGGAUGGACGUACCGCUGGUGUACCAGUUGUUCUGCCAAGGGCAUGGCUGGGUAGCUAAGUACGGAAAGGAUAAGCGCUGAAAGCAUCUAAGCGCGAAGCCUACUUCAAGAUAAGAUUUCCCACCGCAAGGUUAAGACCCCAUGAAGACUACAUGGUUGAUAGGUCAGAGGUGUAAGUGCAGUAAUGUAUUUAGCUUACUGAUACUAAUAGGUCGAGGACUUGACCG
rnacentral:rRNA from 1 species